UUUCAAUCGCUGCUGACAUUUUUACUUCCAGCAAGGAGGUUCUAUUUUCAGCUGUAUUAGCUUGUCUGUUAUUUGGCAGGACCACUUAAAAACUACUUAGGAGAAUACCAUGGACCUUUGUGGAAGGAUGUGGUAAACUGUAGGUCUGGGAAUAAUCUAUUAAAGUUUGGUGAAGAUCCAGGGUUAUUUCCCCCCCCCGCUGGUGCUUUCUCUGCAAGGCAGAGCACAUCCUGAAGGCCACACAAACAGGUCGAAAGUCCCGCCGCAGCAGAAAACCCUUUGAUAAGGAUGAUUAGAAGUUCUGGGUUUUUCUUGGCCCAUUGUUCCAAGGACUGUGGAGUGACCUUGGUUAUUGAAGGAGGACCUACCAGGACAGGAAGAGCAGCACCAGUGGAUGGUCCCACGUUGGGGCCAAGGGCUGGGUGGGGG